GACAGAGGGGGCAAGCGUUGCUCGGAAUCACUGGGCGUAAAGGGCGCGUAGGCGGGAUGGCAAGUCAGUCGUGAAAUCUCUCGGCUCAACCGAGAAACGUCGGCUGAUACUGCCGUUCUUGAGGGAUGCAGAGGAGACUGGAAUUCCCGGUGUAGCGGUGAAAUGUGUAGAGAUCGGGAGGAACACCGGUGGCGAAGGCGGGUCUCUGGGCAUUUCCUGACGCUGAGGCGCGAAAGCGUGGGGGGCAAACGGG
rnacentral:rRNA from 1 species